UACGUAGGGGGCAAGCGUUGUCCGGAUUUAUUGGGCGUAAAGAGCGUGUAGGCGGCCAAGCAGGUCCGCUGUGAAAACUCGAGGCUCAACCUCGAGACGUCGGUGGAAACCGUUUGGCUAGAGUCCGGAAGAGGAGAGUGGAAUUCCUGGUGUAGCGGUGAAAUGCGCAGAUAUCAGGAGGAACACCGGUGGCGAAGGCGGGUCUCUGGGCAGUAACUGACGCUGAGGAGCGAAAGCGUGGGGAGCGAACAGG
rnacentral:rRNA from 1 species